rnacentral:lncRNA from 1 species
UUUUCGUUUUCUCUCUCCCUCAAAGAUCUGGAUCUGCUCUUCUUUCCUUCUCUCUCUCUCUCUCUUUCAAAUUCCCCCUGGAUCUGCAGGUUCUUCCCUUCUCUGGUUCCAGAGAUGUCGAUGGUGGUGUCACGGAAGAGGUUCGCAACAGAACAACUUUGGUGGAACUCUUGAAGAUCGACGAUGACGGCGGCGGUUAGGGUUCUGGUCGUGAAAUUGAAUUUCAUCUUUGAUGUUCAUCAUUAGAUUUGCUCUUUGCUUUGGAGAUACUAUUCAACGAGAUAGUAAGCCUUCAAUUUCAUAUUCCUUUGUCAAUUUCAUGAUUUAUUUCAUUUAAUGAGGAACAUGUAAUGGUUUGAGAAGAGUUCAAGAUCAAGCUAUUGUUUUGUAGUAUGAAGGUGUGCAUCUUCCACAUAGGUUAGGUUUAAUUUCUGUACAUUAACGGAUUUGACUAUAGUGAUUUGCUGGUAUGCUUUCCGUACAUUAUUCGAUAACUAUGUUUGAAAUAUUUUAUGAUUACACACGUACAUCCUUCAGUUUGUGUCAGCAAACCCAUGAGAUGGUGGGAAAAUACACAUGCUUGAGAUCAAUUAAGCACAAGAUUACGUAGACACAUUAUGAAAUUCAUGGGAUAAAAUCCCAUCUUUUUUUCUAUUCACCUGGUUGUGGUGGUUGUAAAGCUCUACACCCAAAGAUCUGUCAACUGGCUAAGUCAAGCUCUAAAGCAAUUUUCCUCCAAGUGAACUAUGAAGAACUCAAACCCAUGUGUCAAUCUCUCCAUAUUCAUGUUCUGUCUUUCCUCAGAUUCCACAAAGGUCAUGAGGCCAAGAUCUAUAUGCGAUAAGAGUCAUGUGAUUUUUUAUUAUGCCAAACACCCUCUAGCAAAGUGAACUAGAGACUCAUAAAGAAAAGGAAACUAUAGAUAUGUAAGUGGGGCUGAUGAGAAAAUCUCUAUGCUUUAUUAAAGCCCCAUUGUCUUUUCAAAAAAACAUUACAUCAUGAUGAUCUGCAAGUUGACGUUUAGGUUUUGGCUACAAAUAUGUCUGCUCUUGUCUAUCUCAGAAACCCAUUUAUGUUCAAGCCGUGAGUGAGAUGAGAGACAGAAGUGGCAAUGAAGGCUUAGACUAGGGGUGAGCAUAAGGCCGAGUCUCUGCUGUGUAAGCAGGCCAUAAUCACUUGCGUAAAUAUGACAACACUAUUGAGGCCUUAGCAAUCCUUCUACACUUCAUGAGACUGUUGUGGAAGUGCCCAAUGUAAGAUGGGAAGACAUUGGUGGCCUCGAGAAUGCUAAACGAGAGCUACAAGAGGGACCGACUCUCAUUUCCGGUUGUUAGUGCACAUUCAAAGAGAAUCUAAUGCUAGACAUUUCGAGGAUUACUCAAUAAACAAGUCCCUUCAUGCCAAAGACUUGAAGUGAUAAAAGAUUGCAGUUUUGCAUCUGGAGAAGAGACCAAACGUUGAGUUGGAUAAAGAGCAAUAUAGAACUAACGGUUGCUACAAAUGGUGGGAACAAGAUUACACGGUAAGCUAAUGCACCAGAUCUGUUUGGAUUUUGCUCUCAUCGGCGGCUGUAAAUGGUGGUUGUCUGCUUAAGCUAGCGAAUCCGACUACUUGACAUGAAUAUUCAAGAUUUGAUUCAAGUUGACUGAUUUCAUAUGGAAUAUCUUAGUGAAUAACCAUGUACAACCAAACAAUUGAGAAAAUCACUUUUAAAAGCUACGCUUUGAUAUUCGCUGACUCAACUCCUUCAUUAGAUGUGCUAAAAGCUGCUAAACAUUACAAGUUAUUCCAGAUGCUUGGAGUAAUGUCAUGCAUACAAAAUAUAAUAGUGAAGACAUUGAGGAGGGCAAGAAUUUGGGUUGACCAGAUUACUGUUGAUUGCAGAUGCUUGGAGAAUAAAAAUACCUUAUUUAUGUAAAUAGUAAUGUCAUGCAUACAAAAUAUAUAUAGUGUUAUUGAUGAAGCACAAAGAAUGUAGGAUAAAGUUGAUUAACAAAACGUGUAGUAUGAAGAAAUAUUUAGUCAUUUG